CCUACGGGCGGCAGCCGUGAGGAAUCUUGGUCAAUGGACGAGAGUCUGAACCAGCCAAGUAGCGUGAAUGAUGACUGCCCUCUGGGUUGUAAACUUCUUUUAUAUUGAAAUAAAAUGUUCCACGUGUGUGAUUUUGUAUGUACCAUAUGUAUAAGGAUCGGCUAACUCCGUGCCAGCAGCCGCGGUAAUACGGAGGAUCCGAGCGUUAUCCGGAUGUAUUGGGUUUAAAGGGAGCGUAGGUGGAUUGUUAAGUCAGUUGUGAAAGUUUGCGGCUCAACCGUAAAAUUGCAGUUGAUACUGGAAGUCUUGAGUACAGUAGAGGUGGGCGGAAUUCGUGGUGUAGCGGUGAAAUGCUGAGAUAUCACGAAGAACUCCGAUUGCGAAGGCAGCUUACUGGACUGCAACUGACACUGAGGCUCGAAAGUGUGGGUAUCAAACAGGAGUAGAUACCCUAGUAGUC
rnacentral:rRNA from 1 species